UCUAAUUAAAAUAUUAUAUAUAUGUAACUUGACUAGAAAAACGUGUAGAAUAACAUGAUAUAGUUUAUUUUCCUAUUUAAUAAAUAUCAAAAUAUGGUUAGUUUAGAUCUUGUCCAAUUUCAAAAAUUGCAAAUGGGGUUCUUUCGAAAAUAUUAUAUGUUGUUUUCGGCCUCAUUUAAAAUGCCUAGAUGAUAUAUUUGUUCAUGCUUCACCUCUUGCCAUGAUUAACAAUGUUUAAAAUGAUUGCUUAGUUAAAACAACAUUAAUCACAUUUCUCUUACAUAUGGAAUGUUAAUAUUUUGUUAUAUGUAUGUUCUCCUUCUCCAUUAAAAAUUGCUUAAUUCCAUCUUCACCUUAUGUCAUGACCACCCAUGUUUAAUAAGAUUUAAUAUUGUCGUGUACCUAAAUGGGAGUGAACUAAGUAAUUUAAAUGUAGAGUUUCGUUAAUAUGCAACUCGAUGCAUAUUGAGCUUCACUUAAUGUAUAGAAGUUGAUUGUUGUGCUUCACUUAAUGUAUAUCACUUCUAUCGAUAUCUCUUGUUACCUACCACGUGAAUGUCAAGGCUCUCAACAUUGUCAUGAAAAGCCUCUAACCCCUUCACAUCCCAGCAAACCUUUGUUUGGAUAUGUUGUCGCUUGCUCAUCCGUUCUUAUAGCGUUGCUAGUUGCAGGUAGAAGUUGCUUCCAUGUGAAAGCAUGGAUUUCUUGAGAUGUCACAAUAGUAUAGCUAUUUUAUUUAAUGCACCUAUAUAGUUUGUAAAAUGUGGAAAGCUUGGACUUUUGAUCGGUGUUCUGUUGCACCUUUGUCGCCCUAGUUACUUAUGUACCGGUGUUAUGUUCUAUAUUGAGCGCUCCUAAAAUGCUUGGGUUUUUUAUGGGGACCCCCUUGAUAAUUUGUUUUAGGUUAAAUCUCUUUUGGCAAGGCCCAACAUUUGUA
rnacentral:lncRNA from 1 species